UUUAACAUGAGAGUUCGAUCCUGGCUCAGGAUGAACGCUGGCGGCGUGCUUAACACAUGCAAGUCGAACGAGCUUUAUGGCCACGAUCCCUUCGGGGUGACGGCCAUAAAGCGAGUGGCGGUAGUAACGCGUGGAUAACCUGCCAUUACUGGGGAUAACAGCUGGAAAAAGCUGCUAAUACCGCAUAAAACUGCUGGACCGCAUGGUCCUGAGCCAAAGCUCCGGCGGUGUAUGAUGGAUCCGCGUCUGAUUAGGCAGUUGGCGGGGUAAGGCCCACCAAACCGACGAUCAGUAGCCGACCUGAGAGGGUGACCGGCCACAUUGGGACUGAGACACGGCCCAGACUCCUACGGGAGGCAGCAGUGGGGAAUAUUGCACAAAGGAGGAAACUCUGAUGCAGCGACGCCGCGUGAGUGAUGAAGAUUUCGGUAUGUAAAGCUCUAUCAGCAGGGAAGAUAAUGACGGUACCUGACUAAGAAGCUCCGGCUAAAUCGUGCCAGCAGCCGCGGUAAUACGUAUGAGGAAGCGUUAUCCGGAUUUACUGGGUGUAAAGGGAGCGUAGGCGGUCUUACAAGUCUGAAGUGAAAACCCUGGGCUUAACCUGGGAUUGCUUUGGAAACUGCAGGACUAGAGUGUCGGAGGGGCAUGUGGAAUUCCUGGUGUAGCGGUGAAAUGCGUAGAUAUCAGGAAGAACACCAGUGGCGAAGGCGGCAUGCUGGACGAUAACUGACGCUGAUGCUCGAAAGCGUGGGGAGCAAACAGGAUGAUACCUGGUGUCCACGCCGUAAACGAUGAAUACCAGGUGUUGGGUCCAUUGGGAUUCGGUGCCGCAGCAAACGCAGUAAGUAUUCCACCUGGGGAGUACGUUCGCAAGAUGAAACUCAAAGGAAUUGACGGGGACCGCCACAAGCGGUGGAGCAUGUGGUUUAAUUGAAGCAACGCGGAACCUUACCAGGUCUUGACAUCCUUCUGACAGUGAUCUGUAAUGGAACAUUUCCUUCGGGACAGAAGAGACAGGUGGUGCAUGGUUGUCGUCAGUCGUGUGUGAGAUGGGGUUAAGUCCCGCAACGAGCGCAACCCUUAUCUUAUGUAGCCAGCAAUUCGGAUGGGCACUCAUGAGAGACUGCCAGGGUGAACCUGGAGGAAGGUGGGGAUGACGUCAAAUCAUCAUGCCCCUUAUGACCUGGGCUACACCAGUGUACAAUGGCGUAAACAGAGGGAAGCGAAGCUGUAAAGCCUGGCAAAUCCCAAAAAUAACGCCAGUUCGGACUUUGGUCUGCAACCCGACCACACGAAGCUGGAAUCGCUAGUAAUCGCAGAUCAGAAUGCUGCGGGGAAUAAGUUCCCGGGUCUUGUACACACCGCCCGUCACCACCAUGGGAGUCGGGAAUGCCCGAAGUCAGUGGCCCAACCGCAGGAGGGAGCUGCCGAGGCAGGGCUGAUAACUGGGGUGAAGUCGUAACAAGGUAGCCGUAGGAGAACCUGCGGCUGGAUCACCUCCUUUUAAGG
rnacentral:rRNA from 1 species